rnacentral:rRNA from 1 species
CUGGCUCAGGAUGAACGCUAGCUACAGGCUUAACACAUGCAAGUCGAGGGGCAGCAGAUCGAAAGCUUGCUUUGAUGCUGGCGACCGGCGCACGGGUGAGUAACGCGUAUCCAACCUUCCCUGUAGUAGAGGAUAGCCCGGCGAAAGUCGGAUUAAUACUCUAUGUUGUAUUUAGAAGACAUCUGAAGAAUACCAAAGGUUUACCGCUAUAGGAUGGGGAUGCGUCUGAUUAGGUUGUUGGCGGGUAACGGCCCACCAAGCCCACGAUCAGUAGGGGUUCUGAGAGGAAGGUCCCCCACAUUGGAACUGAGACACGGUCCAAACUCCUACGGGAGGCAGCAGUGAGGAAUAUUGGUCAAUGGACGAAAGUCUGAACCAGCCAAGUAAGCGUGCAGGAUGACGGCCCUAUGGGUUGUAAACUGCUUUUAUAUAGGGAUAAAGUCGGGGACGUGUCCCCGUUUGUAGGUACUAUAUGAAUAAGGACCGGCUAAUUCCGUGCCAGCCGCGGC